UGCAGUCGAACGGAAAGGCCCAGCUUGCUGGGUACUCGAGUGGCGAACGGGUGAGUAACACGUGGGUGAUCUGCCCCUGACUCUGGGAUAAGCCUGGGAAACUGGGUCUAAUACCGGAUAUUCAUUUUUCCUCGCAUGGGGAUUGGUGGAAAGCUUUUGCGGUUGGGGAUGGGCCCGCGGCCUAUCAGCUUGUUGGUGGGGUAAUGGCCUACCAAGGCGACGACGGGUAGCCGACCUGAGAGGGUGAUCGGCCACACUGGGACUGAGACACGGCCCAGACUCCUACGGGAGGCAGCAGUGGGGAAUAUUGCACAAUGGGCGCAAGCCUGAUGCAGCGACGCCGCGUGAGGGAUGACGGCCUUCGGGUUGUAAACCUCUUUCAGCUCCGACGAAGCGCAAGUGACGGUAGGAGCAGAAGAAGCACCGGCCAACUACGUGCCAGCAGCCGCGGUAAUACGUAGGGUGCAAGCGUUGUCCGGAAUUACUGGGCGUAAAGAGCUCGUAGGCGGUUUGUCGCGUCGUCUGUGAAAUUCUGCAGCUUAACUGUAGGCGUGCAGGCGAUACGGGCAGACUUGAGUACUACAGGGGAGACUGGAAUUCCUGGUGUAGCGGUGAAAUGCGCAGAUAUCAGGAGGAACACCGGUGGCGAAGGCGGGUCUCUGGGUAGUAACUGACGCUGAGGAGCGAAAGCGUGGGUAGCGAACAGGAUUAGAUACCCUGGUAGUCCACGCCGUAAACGGUGGGUACUAGGUGUGGGUUUCAUUUCACGGAAUCCGUGCCGUAGCUAACGCAUUAAGUACCCCGCCUGGGGAGUACGGCCGCAAGGCUAAANCUCAAAGGAAUUGACGGGGGCCCGCACAAGCGGCGGAGCAUGUGGAUUAAUUCGAUGCAACGCGAAGAACCUUACCUGGGUUUGACAUACACCAGACGCAGUCAAAGAUGGCUGUUCCCUUGUGGUUGGUGUACAGGUGGUGCAUGGC
rnacentral:rRNA from 1 species